CUGUGAGGGGAAUGAUGUAUUACUAUCGUGCUCUCAAAAUGCUCGCUUUUCUGGAUUCUGCUUCAGAGAUGGAUAUCAGGG
rfam:Daucus carota subsp. sativus cultivar DH1 chromosome 4, whole genome shotgun sequence.